rnacentral:rRNA from 1 species
UGCGUAGGUGGUUAGAUAAGUUAUCUGUAAAAUCCCUGGGCUUAACCUGGGCAGGUCAGAUAAGACUGUUUGACUCGAGUAUGGGAGAGGGUAGUGGAAUUUCCGGUGUAGCGGUGAAAUGCGUAGAGAUCGGAAGGAACACCAGUGGCGAAGGCGGCUACCUGGCCUAAUACUGACACUGAGGCACGAAAGCGUGGGGAGCAAACA